rnacentral:misc_RNA from 1 species
AGCUGAAUGUUGAAUGCACAACAACUAUAUGAUAAUGAUGCAGGUAUGAUCGACGGUUUAAUUACCCAAGUUUGAGGUAAUUGAAUGUUUCGGCCCAGAGUUUAGGCUACUGUGGCUUGAAGUAAAAUUUUGGAACGUCCUGCAUAUUUGUGGGACAAUAA